CAUCACAGCAUGUGUUGUGAGGGAAUGACACUCUCAUACUCCAUCUUGUCUUGGAUCACUUCAAGUAUGAUACUUCAUCAGAAAUAUGCUCCUUUGUUAUUACCUAUUUGUUUAAUAUUAGCCCAAGUAUUCAGGUUUCUGAAAAGAAGGUAAUAUAAGCAUUGCUGCAUAUGGUAAAGUACCCUGCUGGAGGAAAACCAGGAACAACACUGUCUUAAUGGGAGCAAUACUGGUGACUCCAGAAGACUCACCUCCUGAGCACUUCCAACUGAAAGAAGAUUACAAUUGUUAUCGGUGAAUUUCAACAGUUCUGCAAAUUUCAAACUUAAUUUUUUGUAUCAUGAUACACUUAUAUUCCUGGACUGCUGGUGCGUUUUGGUGCCUUUAACGGUAUGAAGAACCAAUUCGAUAAGUGGCCUUCCCUUCACUGUAUGGGAACAUUAUUCUACUAGCAAUAAACAGAAUUGCAGAAGCGGACAAUUCCGAGCUUUCAGCUGUUCGGUUGAAGGAAGUAGACCGACAUCACCACCAACAUCGAAUUGAAGUUCAUGGCCUGAGCAUCAAAGUUGAAAUUCAGCUCCUUUGUUUGCCCUUGUGUUGUUGCCAUGAGAGAUAGAAGUGGGUAAAUUCCUGGACACUGUAAACUGCAAACCACCACACCACUUCAAACAAAAGCUAAUGUGUGAUAUGCAUGCUAGCCACGGCUCAGUAAUUAGCACUUUGAGUAAAAAAUGUUAUUGAUUCAAGUACCACUGCAGGAACUUGCAUACCAAAUCUAUGUUGAUUCUCCAACUCAGUACUGAAAUGUGAGAGGCAUCCUUUUGAAGGCAAUGUUAAUCUCAAGUGGUAAUUUUAAAUUCGAAGUUGAACUUCAGACAAAGCUUUCCCCUGGUCAUGGACAAUAUUUAUCCUUUGGUCAAUAUUGUUUUAAAAAACAUAUUUUCUUGCCAUGGCUAUGUUUUGCUUGCGGGAGCUUUCUAUGCACAAACCAAUUGCCUUGAUUUUUACAUUGCAACCAGAACUACACUUCAAAGAUAAUUAAUUUGUUGCAAUAUGCUUUGGGAAAUCCUAAGUUCAUGAAAGGUGCUUUAUAAAUGCAAUUUAUUUUCUUUCAAUGUGAUGUGCAACAUGAGUGUACUGAGCUGUACAAUUUAUUGGUGCACUUGUUUAAAAUUUUUAUCAGUCACGGGUCAGAAUUCAAUUGGAGAAUUGAGUCCAAUUCUGGUCAAUAUACCUUAUGAAAGAAAGUAAGGCCUUGGAGAGGUUCUGAUGAAAAUUUACCAUGUUGAUACCAGGGCUGAGGGAUUUCAGAGACUAGACAACCUAAGUAGUUCUUCUUAAAGCAGAGAAAAAUAAGGGUAGAUUUAGUAGAGGUCUUCAAAAUUAUAAAACACUUUGAUAAAAGAAAUACAAAAUAGGAACAGAAAUAGACCAUUUGCUUCCUCAAUUGCUCCACCAUUCAAAAAUGGCGAUGAUCUUCAGAAACGGUGUUUUGAAUUCCACAUUCCCAUUUACGUAUUUAAUCUUCAAUUCCCUUGUGAAAGAACAAUCUCUCCAUCUCUGCCUUUAAGAAUAUUUAAUGAUUCUGCCUUCUCUGCUUUCUCAGGCAGAGUUCCAUAUUUGCACAACUGUCUGAGAGAAAAAAAAAUCUCCUUUUCUCUCUCCUAAAAGGGUAACAACAGUGCCCCUAGUUCUGAUCCACAAAGAAUCAUCUUUUCCACCUUCAUCUUGUUAAGAUCAUUCAGGAUCUUGUACGCUUCAAUCAAGUCACUCCUCCUGCUUCUAAACUCCAUUGGAAACAAGUCCGGUUUGUCCAACCCAUCCUCAUAAGACAACCCACUUAUUCCAGGUAGCAAUUUAGCAAACCCCUUCUGAGCUGCCUCCAGUGCAUGUACAACUUCAUUUUACUCAGAACAAAACUGCAUAGUGUUUGAGAUGUAGUCUCCUCCUCAAUAUCCUAUAUAAGUGAAAAAUACCAUCUUUAUUUUUCUGUUCAAUUCUUUUCAUAAUAGUGUAUCGAAUCCUAUUAAUCAGGUGUUGUACCUGCAUGCUAAAUUUGUGACUUAUCAGAAGAACACCCAAAGCCCUGUGCAUCUCUAAAUUUGGCAGUCAUUUGAAUUUAAAUAAUUAGCUGUUCUUUCUUCUUCCUGAUAAAGCAAAUUCACAUUUCCCCAAUUUUUCUCCAUUUGCAAAAUUUUUGCCCAUUUACUCAACCUCUUGAUUUCCGUUUGGAACCUAUUUGUGUCUCCUUCACAACAUACUUUACACUCUGUUAGUUUCUAUUCACAUUAGGAAUACUAACCAAGUACAUAGAUUUCAGAGUAUUGAUAAAAGUACCAAAGGAAUGAUAAUGAUCACUUGUUUUUCAAAGUUUUAUGAUCCAUAUGUGAUAAGGAAAGAACCAGGAAAUGUGAUUAAUUGGAUAACACUUCCCAAAAGCCAGCACAAUGACAGUGCUUUACAUGAUUCUGUGAUUUUAUAAGCUGAAAGGUUCAGUCAAGUUAGGAUUCCAAAGAAGUCAUAAACAACUCAAUGUUGACUCUGUUUUUCCUUUCUGUAGCUGAUACCAGGCCUGCUGAGAGUUUCCAGUGCCUCUUGUUUUUCAUUUCAGUAAAAUUGACCCAUUCUGUCCAUUUGCUUUUGUUUUGGGAUUUUAUUUAUUGGGCUAGCAUAAUUUAUACAGUCAUUGGAUUGUGUUACACAGGGCGUAGUAAUGUUAAUUGUCAAAAUAGUUUAAAGCCAAAGUAGUAACUUUGUGAUGAGAGGACUAUUCCACUCUUUGAGGUCCAGCAGCAUGGAAAGCUGAUUAGAGCGCAGCCAGCCUUGGUGUGAUACACGUUAAUGUUCUAUUCACCCAGCUGGCUAAGUGCAGAUAGGAAGCAUUUCUCAUGAAUAAAAAUCCAGCUAUUAAACAUUUUGAAUUAUCUUGGGAAGACAGACUUUGACUUAUUCUUUCCAGUUCCACACUCUUCCCUUCCCUCUGACCACGUUGUAGCUUAGUUAAGGACUAGAGUUCCUAUUUGUAUUCGGUCUGGAUUAAAUUACUUUACAAGACACAAGCCUUGGUCAGUAUAUUGCAUAGAUUAUGGAUCUUACAUAUUUCAAGACAAAAGAUAAUUAGAGAUGACAUUUCAUUCUGUUCAUCUGUACUUUUCACUUCUAACAGUUGAUAUGCCCAAAUUGGUAUCAUUUAUAUUUCCAAUGUAUUUGUUCCCAUCAUUAUCUCAAAUCAGCAUGAAGACAGUAUCAAAUUUUGUGACAGGAAGUCUGUUGAAUCCUUUUUAUUAUAAUACAUCAGUUAUAAAGCACUGGAGGGUGAAAUAGCUUUUAAUACUUAUCCUAACUUCAGUAAAAUCUUGAGACCAGUUAUUGUUUUAAUGAUAUAGUUUUUCUAAUCUCAGCUCCUUGGAAGCUUUGAGCAGUUUUCUAAAGUUAACAUUUUAUAUGCUGGUUAUCAAUUACAAACUAAGAAAUGCCACCUUGGUGAGCUCCAAAAUAACCAUAAUUUACUCAGAACUGUAAAGAUUUAUAUUUUGACUGUCUCAGCGAAAAGCCUGGCUGUACAUAAGAUGCUGCUUUGUCCUUGGUAUGCAAAUGAACUGAUUAUUGAAACUUCUGUAUGUAAUUCUGGAAUAUUAGCUUCAUUGAUAUUGAAAUUAAGAAGUAAGUUAAUUGUGGCUGUUUUACCUGCUAUUUCUGUUGGACUUAUUUCCCAACCUUUAUUGGAGUUUCUCCCCCUUCAUUCUAACCUUUGUAGAUUGGAUUGCAUCUUUUGUCAUGCUUUUUUUCACACCAUGUUUGUCCUUUCUUUGCUUUAACAUGCUGUCUCUCUGUCUCACCGUUUCAUUUUCAUCCACCCAUACUUAGAGAUUUAGAAUACAAUUCUUUACUUGUUGAUCAGGCUUGUUCUUGGACCCCUGCACCAUUAAAAUGUCCCUUACUUUAGUCUACAGCAGGUGAUGCCUGUGAACUGGUGAGUUUUGGCCCAAUGAGGAAGCAGUCCCAUCAUUCCAAUCAGAGAGAUUUUGAAUAUGAAUUUUGUUGCGUAACAGUAGGUGUUGUGAAAGAGCUUGAACAAACAUAAUAUCAAUAUCAAUAUCAAUGUCAAUAUCACAAAGUAUAACUGAUGUGACACUAGGGUUGGAAACAUGGUGAACAAAAGCUUAGCCUACGAUUUAUACAGCAUUGAAUCCCUACAGUGUGGAAGCAGGCCAUUUGGCCCAUCGAGUCUACAACGAUCCUCUGAAGAGCACCCCAUCCAGACCCA